CAAAAGCCCAGGAUUUAUUCUGUAUGCAACUUAGUCGGGUGCGCUGAGAUAACACAGCAUAGAAUGAAAGAACCCUCCCAAUGCUGGUUCAUCUUUGCGUGGAUGAAGUGGAACUGAAAUACCGCAUCUCUAACAGCAGAGAGGCUGCUGCAGCCCCCAGAGCCCAACCUCUAUGGGUGCAUGCUGUGCUUGAGGUCCCACAGUGGCAGAGCACGGGGCGGCCCAGCUGAGAACCUGGCCAGGAGACGGGGAAAGGAGUGGCUGCUCUCCAGUCUUGAUGCCUAGAACUUGCUUUUAGUCUAUUUCCAACGAAGGGAUUUCUGAAGGGCAGACAAUGCUCCCCGUGCCAUGGUGGGCCCUCCCCUGGCUGUGGGCUUCUGACUGAGACCUGCAGCUCCAGCUCUUCUCAGUGUCACGGCUUCACCCUGGGCUGGGUGGGACUUCUGUACCAGGCCCCCAUUGCAGGGCCUUUUUUAAGCUUAUUCCUAAUGACCUUGGGUGAGUAGGUAAAUAUUUCGGUGCCUGUAUGUGCA
rnacentral:lncRNA from 1 species